rnacentral:tRNA from 2 species
GGUUUUAUGGUCUAGUGGUAUGAUUCUCGCUUAGGGUCUACUCUGAGUAUUACUUGCGAGAGGUCCCGGAUUCGAAUUCCGGUAAAACCC